rnacentral:rRNA from 1 species
UAAGGAAUAUUGGUCAAUGGACGCAAGUCUGAACCAGCCAUGCCGCGUGGAGGAUGAAGGCCCUCUGGGUUGUAAACUUCUUUUAUAUGGGACGAAACCCUCUCAUUCUUGAGAGACUGACGGUACCAUAGGAAUAAGCACCGGCUAACUCCGUGCCUGCAGCCGCGGUAAUACGGAGGGUGCAAGCGUUAUCCGGAUUCACUGGGUUUAAAGGGUGCGUAGGAGGGCAGGUAAGUCAGUGGUGAAAUCCCCGAGCUUAACUUGGGAACUGCCGUUGAUACUAUCUGUCUUGAAUAUUGUGGAGGUGAGCGGAAUAUGUCAUGUAGCGGUGAAAUGCUUAGAUAUGACAUAGAACACCAAUUGCGAAGGCAGCUCGCUACACAAAUAUUGACUCUGAGGCACGAAAGCGUGGGGAUCAAACAGGAUUAGAUACCCUGGUAGUCCACGCCCUAAAACGAUGGAUACUCGACAUACGCGAUACACAGUGUGUGUCUGAGCGAAAGCAUUAAGUAUCCCACCUGGGGAAGUACGACCGCAAGGUUGAAACUUAAAGGAAUUGAC